UACGUGUUAUUGUUGGCUGUAGAAGUAUCUCAUUCUGAUCCGAUAGUAUAUUUCACUAAUGUAAGCGCAAAAGCAGUUGCACGCAGUACUACGGCAAGAUGGCUACCUCGAUUGCCCCCGGGCCCCGUGUGGCUAGCAAGAUGGCUACCUCGAUUGCCCGCGUGUGACUAACGUUUCUGUGGCCACGUCGGGCGUGGUGCGCCUGCAUAAUCGCCGCUUUGUUUCUGAGCGCUUGAACUAUCGGAAAUGUGGUGUUCUUGCGAGUUCAGCGCGGCUUAUAACAUGGUCGUUCGUUUUGUGUCGAGUAGAAAAAGAAGUGACGACUGGCUUCGCCUUUCGCAAGUACCGGCGCAAUAUUGGCUCUCCCUCGCGCGCCCGCGUACUGCUGCUGCUGCUGCUUGCCGGACGCCUUCUUCAGCGUGUUUAGGGCUAUCUUUCUCUCUCCGUUUGUGUGUGUGUGUGGUGUGUGUUCGCGCGCGCGUACGUGUUUUGUAAGCGCUUUACGUGUGCGUGCGUGCGUCCGUGCGUUUUUUUCUGAGCGCUGUGUACGUGCGUUCGUGCAUAUUUUUUGAGUGUUUUGUAUGUGUGCGUGCGCGCGCGUGUGUGCUUGUAUGCGGGUCUCUAUGUGCUUGCGCGUGCGUGCGUUCGUGCGUGUUUUGUGAGCGCUUUGUAUGUGCGCGCGUGCCUGUUGUUGAGUGCUUUGCAUGUGUGCGUGCGCGCGCGCGCGUUGCUGCUUUGCGAGCUUUUUGCUUGUGCGCGCGUGCUUGUAUGUGGGUCUCUAUGUGCUUGCGCGUGCGUGCGUUCGUGCGUGUUUUGUGAGUACUUAGCGUGUGUGCGUGCGUGCGCGUACGUUUUGUGAGCGCCUUGCGAGUGCGCGUGCUUGUAUGCGGGUCUCUAUGUGCUUGCGCGUGCGUGCGUUCGUGCGUGCGUGUUUUGUGAGUGCUAUGUAUGUGCGUGCGCGCGCGUACGUGUUUUGUGAAUUUUCUGCGGGGGCGCGCGUGCUUUGUGUGUGUGUGUGUAUUGAAUAAAGUCGGUAGUUUUACACGCAAUAAACCUCUUCAAAAUUGUUGCAGCGGCUGUCCCCGCCCUGAAAACCGAAUUUGGUGUCGAGCCACUCUGGAAUAUAUGGAGGCGCCGGAGGACUAGUGGAAGGUGUCAUCCAGAUGACAGCCUCACAAUUCGCAGCCUUUGUGCUCUCCAUCAGAAACCCAUCAGGGGCAAGCCACUUAAGUUUGCCUUCAGACAAGACAACAUUGAAGCAGGAUUCCAGCACAGCCAUCUCCUGCACUUAUGGUCAAGAUGCUCAGACAAUGGAGUCCCUGUUCCUUGUGGUUAACCGUGAACAGUAUUCUCG